rnacentral:rRNA from 1 species
ACGAACGCUGGCGGCAUGCCUAACCCAUGCAAGUCGAACGAGACCUUCGGGUCUAGUGGCGCACGGGUGCGUAACGCGUGGGAACCUGCCCUUAGGUUCGGAAUAACUCCCCGAAAGGGGUGCUAAUACCGGAUAAUGUCUUCGGACCAAAGAUUUAUCGCCUUUGGAUGGGCCCGCGUUGGAUUAGCUAGUUGGUAGGGUAAAAGCCUGCCAAGGCGACGAUCCAUAGCUGGUCUGAGAGGAUGAUCAGCCACACUGGGACUGAGACACGGCCCAGACUCCUACGGGAGGCAGCAGUGGGGAAUAUUGGACAAUGGGCGAAAGCCUGAUCCAGCAAUGCCGCGUGAGUGAUGAAGGCCUUAGGGUUGUAAAGCUCUUUUACCCGGGAUGAUAAUGACAGUACCGGGAGAAUAAGCUCCGGCUAACUCCGUG